rnacentral:rRNA from 1 species
GAUGAACGCUGGCGGCGUGCUUAACACAUGCAAGUCGAGCGAGUGAGUUCUUCGGAACGAUCUAGCGGCGGACGGGUGAGUAACACGUGGGCAACCUGCCUCAUAGAGGGGAAUAGCCUCCCGAAAGGGAGAUUAAUACCGCAUAAAAUUAUCGAGUGGCAUCACAUGAUAAUCAAAGGAGUAAUCCGCUAUGAGAUGGGAUCGCGGCGCAUUAGCUAGUUGGUGAGGUAACGGCUCACCAAGGCGACGAUGCGUAGCCGACCUGAGAGGGUGAUCGGCCACAUUGGGACUGAGACACGGCCCAGACUCCUACGGGAGGCAGCAGUGGGGAAUAUUGCACAAUGGGGGAAACCCUGAUGCAGCAACGCCGCGUAAGUGAUGAAGGUCUUCGGAUUGUAAAGCUCUGUCUUUGGGGACGAUAAUGACGGUACCCAAGGAGGAAGCCACGGCUAACUACGUGCCAGCCGCCGCUGUAA